rnacentral:rRNA from 1 species
CUACGGUGGCUGCAGUGGGGAAUAUUGGACAAUGGGCGAAAGCCUGAUCCAGCCAUGCCGCGUGUGUGAAGAAGGCCUUCGGGUUGUAAAGCACUUUCAGUGGGGAAGAAAGCCUUGGGGCUAAUACCCUCGAGGAAGGACAUCACCCACAGAAGAAGCACCGGCUAACUCCGUGCCAGCAGCCGCGGUAAUACGGAGGGUGCGAGCGUUAAUCGGAAUUACUGGGCGUAAAGCGCGCGUAGGCGGUCUGAUAAGCCGGUUGUGAAAGCCCCGGGCUCAACCUGGGAACGGCAUCCGGAACUGUCAGGCUAGAGUGCAGGAGAGGAAGGUAGAAUUCCCGGUGUAGCGGUGAAAUGCGUAGAGAUCGGGAGGAAUACCAGUGGCGAAGGCGGCCUUCUGGACUGACACUGACGCUGAGGUGCGAAAGCGUGGGUAGCAAACAGGAUUAGAUACCCUAGUAGUC